rnacentral:rRNA from 1 species
CCUACGGGAGGCAGCAGUGAGGAAUAUUGGUCAAUGGACGAGAGUCUGAACCAGCCAAGUAGCGUGAAGGAUGACUGCCCUAUGGGUUGUAAACUUCUUUUAUAUGGGAAUAAAAUGUUCCACGUGUGGGAUUUUGUAUGUACCAUAUGAAUAAGGAUCGGCUAAAUCCGUGCCAGCAGCCGCGGUAAUACGGAGGAUCCGAGCGUUAUCCGGAUUUAUUGGGGUUAAAGGGAGCGUAGGUGGAUUGUUAAGUCAGUUGUGAAAGUUUGCGGCUCAACCGUAAAAUUGCAGUUGAAACUGGCAGUCUUGAGUACAGUAGAGGUGGGCGGAAUUCGUGGUGUAGCGGUGAAAUGCUUAGAUAUCACGAAGAACUCCGAUUGCGAAGGCAGUUCACUGGACUGCAACUGACACUGAGGCUCGAAAGUGUGGGUAUCAAACAGGAUUAGAUACCCUUGUAGUC